CUGGCCUGGUCUAAUCUGGCAUGCAGCCAUUGCAUCCAUCACCCGGAAAAUAUGACUGAGUGUUAAGAAGUGAAUUUCAGCUCAGACAAGUGGAAUGACUUGCUCUUAGUGACACAGCGUCAGCAGCAGGAUCUGCACCGACAACCUCGGGGCUUGAAGUCCACAGCCUUAACAACUACAGUAUUUGGAACAAGGUUAUGAAGAGCCAGAACCUAUGGAAACAGAAGAUAUAAGCGAACCCUGGAUGGCAUGCUAAUCCAACACAAACACCUGGUCAAUUUAAAAUUUUAAGUAAACAUAAACCUGCAUGUCACCAGGAUGUGGGAGGAAGCCAGGGUACUGAAUAGAAAAAUCACAUGCAGAGGACAGUAUGAUCAAACAUUUGAACAGCACUAAACUUCAAACCACUCAGUCUUGAGUAUAGAGCAAUUCUGAUACACACACACACACACACACAUAGCGAUUGACUGGAGUCCUACCUAGGGUUUGCUCCUGACUGGCUUCCUAUGUUAGUUGGGAUAGGUUAUAUACUGUGUAAUAUGCAAAGUUGACUGACUGCACUUACUCAUCAACAAAACACUAUUUCUCAUUUAGUUCAAAAGCUAAGAACAUUGAUACAUAUCAAUAUUUAGGGGGAAAAAAGCCUAUAAUAGAAAUAAAUACCACAAAAGCUCAAAUAUACUCUGAUUGAAAUUCAGUAACAUUACAAGAGAAGAAAAUUAGCUGACUUUUUUAUUUGUUGAUAUGUAUUAAGUUAACUUAUAUGUUCUGUGCAGCACUAAUAGGAGGCUUGAUGCAAAUGAAGGAUGCAGCAGAACCAACUGACAGCAGCACUAGCCAAUAAGGUGGAUGUAAGAAACACUGAAGUAGAGGCAGGAAAAACAGUCUUAAUCACAUUUGCCCUGUACAGUGAGGUAUGAAAUAGAAAAGAGAAAGUUCAGCAAAGCUCUAAAGUUAGCAAGCACUAUAAAAUGUGAGUGCUGAUGCUAGGCAUUGUGGCUAUGAUUGUAGAUGUUGCUUCACCAGAAGCAAAACAGCAGAAAUUGAGAAGCAGAGACAGAAGUAGUGUCCUUGAAUCCAAGAAAAAUGGGGGGCAGAUGGUAUGUGUUUAAACUUGACAGGUCCCCCUCAAGAUACUCCAUUGUAAUACACAUUUGCACCUAUGGACCCCCACCCUGUCCUCCAAAACUAUUUACAUUUACAAGCAUAUCUGCUUACUUUGAACAGUGAUGCACCCCAGAACGUGUUACAUAUACAUUCACAUCUAUGGACUUUAAACAGGGACCCCUGAUCAUCUAAGAAAUCUCCAAAACAUAGUA